rnacentral:rRNA from 1 species
UACGUAGGGGGCAAGCGUUGUCCGGAUUUAUUGGGCGUAAAGCGCGUGUAGGCGGCCAGGUAGGUCCGCUGUGAAAACCCGAGGCUCAACCUCGGGACGUCGGCGGAAACCAUUUGGCUAGAGUCCGGAAGAGGAGAGUGGAAUUCCCGGUGUAGCGGUGGAAUGCGCAGAUAUCAGGAAGAACACCAACGGCGAAGGCAGCUCGCUGGGACGGUACUGACGCUAAGACGCGAAAGCGUGGGGAGCGAACAGG